GCGCCGAGCGGGGCUGGUCAGUGCUGCUGCGGUCACUUUACCUUCUGCACCGGCGGCUGCGUGGUUUCUUGGCCUCCCCCUCCUCCUGCGGUCCUCUAACAGCCAGGCUGCUUUGGAGCAGGCACUCCACCAGGGCUGGGCGGAGUGGAGUUUCUCCCAAACCUGGUGGCCCUGGGCACUGGCUGUGUGCAGCGCCGAGCUCCUCCCUGACCCCACGGGACUGUCUGGCUCAUGGACGGAGGCGAGCGCUGGCUCAGGCUUGAGAUGGCGUCGCAGCUUCUCCUGGAGGCUGGCACCUUGCCUGCCCCACUCUCUCUCCAUCUCUGUAACAUCUGUCAAAACUCCAGUUGAGGCCUGCAUGCCCGGGUGUCUUGAAAGGAGUGUGUUUCUGGUUGCUGUGGGUACUGAGCCAAGGAGCCUGGUCACAGACAGGGGUUCGUUUUAGCUUUUCCCCGGCAAAGUAGAAGCCUGGGACUUGGGAGCCAUGGGCAGCUGUGUGCUUGGUACAGUUUGGGUGGGUCCAGAUUCACCGCACGGCGUUUUGCCUGAAUGACACAAAGGCAUCCUGUGACUGGUGUUAGAUGACACAAAAGUGUACCUCCACGCCUCGCAACGCAGCCCUGGGCUGGCUUACCCGCUCCCCAGAGCCCCUGGAGGCUUCUGGAGCAGCCUUGCUGCCCUGCUGG
rnacentral:lncRNA from 1 species